rnacentral:rRNA from 1 species
GAUGAACGCUGCGGCGUGCUUAACACAUGCAAGUCGAACGGUGAAGCAGGAGCUUGCUCCUGUGGAUCAGUGGCGAACGGGUGAGUAACACGUGAGCAAUCUGCCCUGGACUCUGGGAUAAGCGUUGGAAACGACGUCUAAUACCGGAUACGAGGCGUGGGGGCAUCCCCAACGCCUGGAAAGAAUUUCGGUCCAGGAUGAGCUCGCGGCCUAUCAGGUAGUUGGUGAGGUAACGGCUCACCAAGCCUACGACGGGUAGCCAGCCUGAGAGGGUGACCGGCCACACUGGGACUGAGACACGGCCCAGACUCCUACGGGAGGCAGCAGUGGGGAAUAUUGCACAAUGGGCGCAAGCCUGAUGCAGCAACGCCGCGUGAGGGACGGCGGCCUUCGGGUUGUAAACCUCUUUUAGCAGGGAAGAAGCGAAAGUGACGGUACCUGCAGAAAAAGCACCGGCUAACUACGUGCCAGCAGCCGCGGUAACAC